rnacentral:rRNA from 1 species
CCUACGGGAGACAGCAGUAGGGAAUCUUUCACAAUGGGCGAAAGCCUGAUGGAGCAACGCCGCGUGCAGGAUGAAGGCCUUCGGGUUGUACACUGCUUUUAUAAGCGAGAAAUAUGAUGGUAACUUAUGAAUAAGGAUCGGCUAACUACGUGCCAGCAGCCGCGGUCAUACGUAGGAUCCGAGCAUUAUCCGGAGUGACUGGGUGUAAAGAGUUGCGUAGGUGGCAUAAUAAGUAGCUAGUGAAAUCUGGUGGCUCAACCAUUCAGACUAUUAGCUAAACUGUUAAGCUCGAGACCGUUAGGGGUAACUGGAAUUUCUAGUGUAGGAGUGAAAUCCGUAGAUAUUAGAAGGAACACCAAUAGCGUAGGCAGGUUGCUGGGACGGUUCUGACACUAAGGCACGAAAGCGUAGGGAGCAAACGGGAUUAGAUACCCUUGUAGUC